rnacentral:rRNA from 1 species
ACAAGUCAUCCGCCUGAGAACUACGAGCACAAACGCUUAAAACUCUAAGGACUUGGCGGUGCUCUAAACCCACCUAGAGGAGCCUGUUCUAUAAUCGAUAACCCACGAUUCACCCGACCACUUCUUGCCAAAACAGCCUAUAUACCGCCGUCGCCAGCCCACCUCAUGAGAGCACAACAGUGAGCUCAACAGCCCACAACCCACUAACAAGACAGGUCGAGGUAUAGCCUAUGAAGUGGAAGAAAUGGGCUACAUUUUCUAAAAUAGAAUAACCCAACGAAAGGGGGCUUGAAACCUGCCCCCAGAAGGCGGAUUUAGCAGUAAAGCAGGAUAACC